rnacentral:lncRNA from 1 species
GUCAAUGGUUCUGUAUUCAAAGAUUCUCUGGUUUUAUUAUUCUAAGAGCCUGCUUUUAAAAAUUGGGUGUCAGAGCAAGCCCCGAGGGCAGCAGCUGUGGGCAGGCUGGAGGAAAUGGUCCCUGUUUAGGUGCUGCACUGGUCUCUGCAUGAUCAAUCCCAGCGCCCAGAACACCGAUAUCAAGGCCUUUGCCUGGCUCUUCUCCAGAUGGUUUUCUAUUGCAGGAGUUUUGCUGGCAGAGAGCUUAUGAAGAAACAGGCUUACAGAAGGCACGGCCAGGCUGCAGGGAUGACUGGGACCUGAAAACAGCCAGCAUCAUCAUUCUUGAAAGUUUAGAAACGAGGCAUGUAUACGUAUUUAACAGUUCUCAGAAUGUCAAGGAUCCCUCCUCAGAGCAAGAGCUCGAAUUUACAAAAGAAGCACUACCUCCUUUAUCACAUAGUAAAAUAAAGGACCGUGUCUGCUCCAGGACAUGGCUGGUUACAAUUUUGUUUUAAAGAAAUCACCAGAGAAACCUGAGAUUCCAACCCAGCCUUUUGUUUGCCUGGGAUUAUAGCCCAGUUCUUACAAGCAGAGAAGCCUAGGACACUAACCCAGCUUCAAGAGUAUACUCAGAAUCUCAAGAAUCACAAUCUGUGCUGCCCAUUCUUCAACAGACUGUCAUCUGGAGGCCUGGAUUGGAUCAGGAGUCGGGCUCACCAAUGGAGCCCCAAUCAGUCAGUCAGGAGUGAAGAUGAAAGCUUCAAAGGCAUUGAUGACUCACUUCUCACUUGAGUCCAGACCCAUCUGGAUUGCCUGCAAAAAGGUCUCGGCAGUGACCUGAAAACAUAUGUAAAUUACCCAACCAAUUCUAACCAGGACCUGCUGUCUGGCAAUUCAUCCCCAUGUUCUAGACUUGUCCAACAAGCACCCAAGCAACUUUGAGUUCCAUCCUGCAACUCUCAGUCAGGCUCAAGAAAAGCCCCAAUUUUAUCUGGGCAUGGUGACACAUGACUGUAAUCCCAGCUACUCGGGAGGCUGAGGCAGUUGAAUCGCUUGAACCCAGGAAGCGAAGGCUGCAGUGAGCCGAGAUCAUGCCACUGCACUCCAGCCUGGGCAACACAGCGAGACUGUCUCAAAAUAAAAUUAAAAUUAAAUUUUUUAAAAAGGCCCCAAUGAUGACACUUAGCCUCUUUGACUCUAUUUGACUCUUUCUAGCUUGACUCUAGUUUGUCAGCCAUAAGUGCAGACCUACAUUUGCUUUAUGCAUUAAGAUUGGCCACUUCUGAAUGGAGACCAGAAUCUAUAUAUUUUUAAAGGCAGAAUCAUUGUGUUGAUUCUGUAUCAGUCAGGAGAGUUAGACUGUACUGUGGUAACAAACAACCAUCAGAUCUCAGGUGACUUAAACCGCUAAGGUUGAUGUCUUGCUCCCCUAUAUGCUCAUGCAGGGUUAGUAGGAGCUCUGCUUUAUAUCAUCCUCCCUUGUCUACAGUAGUUGAACCAUUGCAUGUAGAGGCAAACACUCCUAACUCAUGUCAAGAGCAUGAAGAAAAUUCUGGACUCCUGGGGUCAAGCUCCCCAUGAAACAGAUUCUGCGACAGGUGUUUGUGUGUGGGAAAUUUGUUUGCCUGCUCUUGGGAACAACACCUGUAAGGGAGUGAGGGAGCCGGAAUGAGCAGAGAGAAGAGUUGAGCUGCAAUGCAGAAGCAACAGAGGCC